rnacentral:rRNA from 1 species
UACGUAGGUGGCAAGCGUUGUCCGAAUUUACUGGGCGUAAAGAGCGCGCAGGCGGUCGUCCAAGUCGCGUGUGAAAGCCCCCGGCUCAACUGGGGAGGGUCACGCGAUACUGGUCGACUCGAAGGCAGGAGAGGGUAGUGGAAUUCCCGGUGUAGUGGUGAAAUGCGUAGAUAUCGGGAGGAACACCAGUGGCGAAGGCGACUACCUGGCCUGUUCUUGACGCUGAGGCGCGAAAGCUAGGGGAGCAAACGGGG